UGGGGAGCGGCGUGCAGGGAUGGGGGGAGGGGCGGCGGUGCGGAGCACUGUGAGGUCACGCUCACACCGGGGGAGGGGGCUGAGAGAACGAAGGGACCGAGAGCGUCGUGACGGGAACGGGGCUCACGAGGAGCGGCGUGUUGUGCGGGGAGCGGCCGGACGCGGCUGUGAAGAAGUCACAGCCUGAAAUGCUUCGCCGAGUUCCAGAGAUAAGAUAAAUAAACGCUGGAUGGAGGUCUCUGAUUACUCACGCUGUUACCACGCGGAGCAAAGAGCUGCGGCCGCUGCUCCAGACGGAGCCCAUCUGCACUCGUCGGUCCCGAGGAGUUCCCAGCAUCCCACACAUAUUUGUGGGCUGAAUUGUCCAAAUUGAAUGGGUUUUUACUGGAAGUGCUGGUGAGCACCACGGCUCUUUCAGUGUUUCUUUUCAAAGGGAAACACUCCAGGAUGUCGCCCACCCCGCCAUGGUGCAGGAGAUGCUCGCUGCCUUUUUGGGGCUUAGGGAGGAUGCUGAACAUCCCUCGAGGGCUGGGAGCACCUCAACCUGCUGGCCUUUUUGUAUUGAUAAAGUGUGUAGAAAUGGGACACGGC